rnacentral:pre_miRNA from 1 species
AAUAAGAUCAUUUUUCAGUUUUUUGAUACAAUGUUUUGACUCUUCGUCUUAUUUGAAACUUUUUUGCGAUUAAUAUUUUUUGUUCUUACCAGAUGAUAAAAUAUGAAUAGUACUUUAUACGUGACUAAUUUUUUUAAAGUUUUUAUACAAAUUUUUUAAAUAAGACAAAUGGUUAAAUGUUGGACAAGAAAAA